AAGACUAUACUUUCAGGGAUCAUUUCUAUAGUUCGUUACUAGAAAAGUUUCCUUGAAUGUGUCUUGUAAAAUAGCUGGUCAAUAAAUGUAUC
rnacentral:snoRNA from 1 species